CACACAGCUCAGUAACACGUGGCUAACCUGCCCUUGGGACGAGAACACCCCCGGGAAACUGGGGCUAAUUCUCGAUAGGCGAAGAACUCUGGAAUGAGUCUUCACCCAAAAGACGCUUAGAUCAUGCUUCUAAACGUCGCCCAAGGAUGGGGCCGCGGCCGAUCAGGUUGUUGGUGAGGUAAUGGCUCACCAAGCCUUUAACCGGUGCGGGCCGUGGGAGCGGGAGCCCGGAGAUGGGCACUGAGACAAGGGCCCAGGCCCUACGGGGCGCAGCAGUCGCGAAAACUUUGCAAUAAGCGAAAGCUUGACAGGGCUAUCCCGAGUGCCAUCCGCUGAGGAAGGCUUUUACCCAGUCUAGUAAGCUGGGGGAAUAAGGAGAGGGCAAGUCUGGUGUCAGCCGCCGCGGUAAUACCAGCUCUCCGAGUGGUGUGGAUGUUUAUUGGGCCUAAAGCAUCCGUAGCUGGCUGAGUUAGUCCCCUGUUAAAUCCACCGAAUCAAUCGUUGGAUUGGGGGGGAUACUGCUCGGCUAGGGGACGGGAGAGGCAGACGGUAUUUCCGGGGUAGGGGUGAAAUCCAAUAAUCCCGGGAAAACCACCAGUGGCGAAGGCUGUCUGCUAAAACGCGCCCGACGGUGAGGGAUGAAAGCUGGGGGUAGCGAACC
rnacentral:rRNA from 1 species